AGGUGGAAGGGAAGAUCUUGGUGAAGGAAAGCUGAACCAUGAUGAUCCACAGAGGUUGAAGCAGGAACAAAACCAAACUACUUUACUGGGUUUGGCCUUUUAAAAUAUAUUUUCCAGCAUUUUAUAUAGUUUAUGGUUGAACAUGUAUGCUUCAGUUUGUAACCAAUUUAAAAUCAGUCUUGUAUAAAAUAUAUUAUCUACAGUAUUCAUUUCAUAUGGUUAUAUAUCUUUAAUAUAAAAACACAUUUCAUGUCUGGUGUACUCUAUGAUGACUUGUCAAUGUUUAAGGAAGUCUGUGGUUUGUGUUUGACACAACACAAUAUUUUUAACUGGACAGAGUGAUAAAUAUUCAUUCCAGCUGUGUUGCUGUUGAGUUUUUACAGAAUACAUUUUACUGCUGCCUCUGUAAGAACUAGUUAGGGGAUCAUUUUAGAGAUGUUGACAUAAUAAAUAUUUACAUUAUGACAACACAAGUGUAUUAUAUUGUUUUAACUUUGUCACUAUUUUCUGCUUUUAAAAAUAAACUAUCCAAUCCUCACUGGUCUUUUUCUUUUUAUUAAAAAUUCUCAGUGGAAAUAAAAUGUGGAGUUGAAUUUAAGUGAGCAGAAAUAAUGACAAACCGGUUGUGUUCUUGAGAUGAAAAAACAAAUUAGAAAAUCAUAUUUUAAUCACCUCCUCAACAGUCCAGUAGAUGGCAGUAAUGCACCUCUUUAAUAAACUGGUCGCAACCAAAUCUGAAUAUGUACAUACUGGAGUGCUGCAGUUUAACAGAAAUCAGCUGUUCUCUUCUGGUCUGGGCUCUGAAGUCCAACCCCUCCCAUCUGUUCACAGCUGGACCUGAAUGACAAGUGCAAGCUGCUGGAUUCUGGAGCUUCAUGAUGUUGAGCAGGAGGGAGACUCAUCACCACCAGCCCAGGAAAUGAGCUUCAACCCAAAAUCAUCCUGAAUCACUUUUGGGGUUCAUAUUGUGUAGUUUUUUUGUGCCACCACGAGAUGUCGCUUUACUCAAGUUUACCUGAUCAACUUCAGGAAGUGAAUCAGAUCCAAGAGAGAAGAGCAGAUCAGAGCUGARAAGAAGUCAGACUAAUUCAUCUGGUAGCACACAGCCAAUGAGGUACGUUAUGUUUUACGUCUACAUUUUGUUUAAAAGUGUUCAAGAUAUUUAUGUUAUUUUGUCUGGAGUUUAAAUAUUUAGUCUGUGUUGCUUUAGUUUUAUAUGCUUUGUUGGUUUGAGGAAACCACUUGUGUCCAGACGGGCCUGAAAGCAGGUCUAAGAGGUGGAAAMACAGAUCAUCUUCUAAUAAGUGACCUGAUCAACUUACAACAGGUCAAAACUCCACACAGCAAAAAACGUUAAAUUAUUUUAAACUAACACAAAAAAACCAACACAACUCCUUAACUUUUACCCAUGAACAUGUAUUUUAAUACAAGUGGAAACAUUGCAUGGAUUACUUCUCAAUAUAGAUUUUUAUGUUUUAUUCAUUAUUAAGUGUCUGUUAGUUGAAGGAGUCAGAAAAUGACUGCACAAUAAACACAAAAUAUUAAUUUUUAAUAAAGUCCCAUUUGUUUACAUGAAGGGGUGAGACCUAAACCUGGGACCAUACCGUGGGAACACUGAGCCCAGACAGUCUCUGAGACCUGAUCCAGGACUGUAGACAGUUCUGCUUCUGGUCUGAACAGACUCACACAUCAGAACCAGUGCAGACACAUCUGUUCUGACUGGUAUUUCUGGUUUAUCCAACCAAACGUUCCUUUUUCACACGUGACAGAACCAAACGGACCGUCCAUCUUCAGCUUCAUCUUUAUCUUCAAACAUUUCAACCUCAUCAACAUGCAAACACCUGAACAGCCUGAAGUUCUGAAGCAGUUCUGCCCAACAUCAAACCAAAAAAAA